GAUGAACGCUGGCGGCGUGCCUAAUACAUGCAAGUCGAGCGAACAGACGAGGAGCUUGCUCCUCUGACGUUAGCGGCGGACGAGUGAGUAACACGUGGAUAACCUACCUAUAAGACUGGGAUAACUUCGGGAAACCGGAGCUAAUACCGGAUAAUAUAUUGAACCGCAUGGUUCAAUAGUGAAAGACGGUUUUGCUGUCACUUAUAGAUGGAUCCGCGCCGCAUUAGCUAGUUGGUAAGGUAACGGCUUACCAAGGCGACGAUGCGUAGCCGACCUGAGAGGGUGAUCGGCCACACUGGAACUGAGACACGGUCCAGACUCCUACGGGAGGCAGCAGUAGGGAAUCUUCCGCAAUGGGCGAAAGCUUGACGGAGCAACGCCGCGUGAGUGAUGAAGGUCUUCGGAUCGUAAAACUCUGUUAUUAGGGAAGAACAAAUGUGUAAGUAACUAUGCACGUCUUGACGGUACCUAAUCAGAAAGCCACGGCUAACUACGUG
rnacentral:rRNA from 1 species